GAAAAAGGAGAUGGAAUAUUAUCCAGCAUUCCAAAGUAUAUGUUUGAAGGUGGAUGAAAGAUGGCGUCAAGAAGGCAGUUCCUGAUAGCACAACAAAAGGAACUAAGAUGUCACCGAGAGCUGUGAACAGCGGCCAUGCCUGGAUGUUGCCAAGUGUUAGUGUGGAUAUCAAGGAAGGAUGAAGAGAACGCGUGGAGUGGAACGGAAAUUGUGUUCAAGUAGUGUGCUAGACAGGUGUCUGGAAGCCUGCGUCUUGGCACAAUGAAUUCGUUGUCUCCGUAAUAGGAGGGGCUUACUGACACUCCCUCUGUGUGGUAAAAAUACACCCAG
rnacentral:lncRNA from 1 species